AUAAAAUCUAUUCGCGCUCUCCCUUUUUUCCCACUCUUCUCGCUAAAAAUGAAAAUCCCCAGAUCCCUUCAGAUCUCUAUCCCUCGGUGAGAUCGAGUAACGAUGCUUCUUCGGUGUGUGAGAUCAUUGAAUCAAAGAUGAUCUACUCUCACUUUACAACCCUAAUUGCUAACAAGGGGGCUCGGUCCCGUCGCGAGAUCGUGACCGGAACGGCAGCAAGUAAGCGGUGGUUCUGAAUCCUGAUGGCGGCAGCUGAAGGCAAUUUAGGGUUUAUUCUUCGAUUUCAUUUGACUUGAGGGUAAUUAUUUAGGGUGUUUCGAUACUGACGUUUCUUCAACUCGAUGAAUUCCGAUCCUUCCAACCUAGGGUUUGAAUUCUUUGAUCCUUUGACUCGAAGGUAUGGCUGCUUCAUUUCCGCUUCUGAAGCUGCAAGAGAUGGUGGCAUUCUUAUUGGAGCUAUGCAUAAAUCAGAAUGUAAUUAAGGCUGCGAUUCAGCCAGCACAAACUCUCUAGGUUAACAGUUUGGCAUAAAUAGGUUUUUGGACCCAAACAAACUCCUUGGGCUAGCAGUCCUACACGUGAACAUUAUGGAUGACAUGUUACUCUCUUUGGUUAUGAAGGCAGCUGGUUCUGCAUUAACUGGUCUUGUUCAUGAUAGCCUUUCUGAAUCAAAAUGCAGAUUGAAUGUACAAGGAGUUGGGAUUCACAAAUAUGGUUACACGUCGUAGCGGAUAACAAGUAUGCUUGGACUUUUGCCCUUCACACUAUCGAAUUACCUGCCUCCAUCGAAUGUCAGCUCUGAGCGUGUAUGCCCAAUGCAUGAUUAUUCUUUGAUUAAUCGGUCCAAAUGUGUGUUGAAAUUUUGCUAAAAAUAAAUUCAGCACAAACCCAGUAUAAGUAGUCAAAAGUCAUCAUCCCAUACAAUGGGUACAACACUGCAAUU